rnacentral:rRNA from 1 species
CAAUACGAGCGGCAGACGGGUGAGUAACGCGUGGGAAUCUACCCAUCUCUACGGAACAACUCCGGGAAACUGGAGCUAAUACCGUAUACGUCCUUUUGGAGAAAGAUUUAUCGGAGAUGGAUGAGCCCGCGUUGGAUUAGCUAGUUGGUGGGGUAAUGGCCUACCAAGGCGACGAUCCAUAGCUGGUCUGAGAGGAUGAUCAGCCACACUGGGACUGAGACACGGCCCAGACUCCUACGGGAGGCAGCAGCU